GACGAACGCUGGCGGCGUGCUUAACACAUGCCAGUCGAACGGAAAGGCCCUGCUUUUGUGGGGUGCUCGAGUGGCGAACGGGUGAGUAACACGUGAGUAACCUGCCCUUGACUUUGGGAUAACUUCAGGAAACUGGGGCUAAUACCGGAUAGGAGCUCCUGCUGCAUGGUGGGGGUUGGAAAGUUUCGGCGGUUGGGGAUGGACUCGCGGCUUAUCAGCUUGUUGGUGGGGUAGUGGCUUACCAAGGCUUUGACGGGUAGCCGGCCUGAGAGGGUGACCGGCCACAUUGGGACUGAGAUACGGCCCAGACUGCUACGGGAGGCAGCAGGGGGGAAUAUUGCACAAUGGGCGGAAGCCUGAUGCAGCAACGCCGCGUGCGGGAUGACGGCCUUCGGGUUGUAAACCGCUGUCGCCGGUGACGAAGCGUGAGUGACGGUAAUGGGUAAAGAAGCACCGGCUAACUACGUG
rnacentral:rRNA from 1 species